rnacentral:tRNA from 1 species
UCCUUGGUAGCUCAAGUGGUAGAGCAACUGUCUCGUAAACAGGAGGUUGUGUGUUCGAUCCACACGCAGGGAG